rnacentral:lncRNA from 1 species
GGAAGAGAACUGUAGUUUGGAGUCUAAAGUUUGGAUUAUGCAGAGAUGGAGAGAAGACUAGAAAGAAAAGGGAUACGAAAAAGAUGAUGAAAGACGACAGAUGAGAGUUAAGAAGAUAGUUGGUAUUUGGAUGUUGUCCACUAGUGAUGGUGAGGAGUAGCAAGUCUAAUUAAGAUGGAAAAGGGAGCUAUUGUACUAAUGGCACCAUCGGUACAACAAGCAUGUAGUUCUAGUGGCCUAAUUAGUUUUAUUUCAAAUUGAAGGAAAACUCUUAGCUGGUUCUCUACCUUACGGGUAAGAAAAAAGAUUUCAAAUUGUUACUUUUCUUAUUUAGUUGUGAACUACGAUUGGCUUGAUCCCUUCGGAGGAUACGUAGGCAGUCUAAUAAGAAGUUAGAUGAAGCCAUAAUAUAAACAAGAUUAAAUAUUGGUGGAAAAUCGUCAGAGAGAGAAAUGUUAGUAUGGUUAAUAUAAAGGGUAACUAUGACAUUUUUGGGCCUAUCACCGUAGUUAGCUUCCGUAUAAAAUAAGGAAACUGUUUGUGUUGUGGCAUGAGCCAUUACUUGUGUUGCUCGGCUUGACUGAAGCCAAGGAUUGGCUCGGCAUGAGCUAAGGAAGUGGCAUGGCACGGGCCACAGUUUAGGCUGCUUGCCAGAAAUAAGGAAACUCCUUGAGUUUGAUUUCUUAACUGUCGUAGAUGAAGCAGUCAAGGAUGGAGUUGCCAAGAUCGAAGCUGAUGAAGAUGAAGUGUCAGAUAAGCGAACUGUUGAGUGUAAAGUGGCUGCUGCCCCCUGACCAUUCGCUGCCUAGUUGGUCUUCAAGCAUUUGAUCUUUUGAGCUAUGUGGCCUUCUCGCACUGGAGAGCUUACCUAGAUGGGUGUCAGGGAAUUAGUUUACCAUCUCACACUGGAGAGCAAUUAGGUUACCCUUUCUUACUAAAGAGCUAUUAGUUUACCCUCUCAUGCUGGAGAGCAAUUAGUUUACCCUCUCAUACUGGUGUUGAAGUUCCUUUCGAGUGCAAAUUUAAGGAUAGUAUAGUGGCAUAAGUAAGGGUGUCAAACCACAGAGACUGAUAAACAACUUAGUAAAACCUUUUACUCUUAUGUAUUAGCAUUAGUUAAUGACUCAUAUGAUUUAAAAUUGGGGCUUUAAGUAAUUUUGGAAAAUAAAUAAAGACAGAAAGAAAAGGAAAAAAUUAGAACUAUUUAAAAAAAUAAACCUAAGACAUGAAAUAGGUUAGAAAUGUUUUUAGGACAGAAAUCUGACUUAAAAUGAGCUAAGGCCUUCCCCUAAACAUUCAUGAAUCAAUGAGAUGAUCUUUUAACUUAUCCAUUUCAAAUGCACAACUAAGAUGUUCACAUAUCUAGCAUGGCAUAUAACUAGAUUGUAUGAAUCCUCACUUUCUAUGCAUGUUAAAUGCAUGGCAUAUACAUCAAACUUAUAUUUGUAGAUGCAACCUAGCAUGGCAUAUACUCAGAUUUAGCACCUAGAAACUCAUUAAGAACGAAGAGGAUUAUGAACAUCACAUGAACCCUAGAACAUGGCAUUUAUCCUAGAUUUCCAUGGAAUCAGCUUACAUGAUUAGUUUUGAACCUAACCACAUGUUGCUAAGGAAUGAAAGAAGAUAUGGUAGUCAUCCUUAUCAUUCUCAACAGAAAGCAAACAUAAACAAGGUAGCUAGGCUUGAAAUUAUGUGCUUGAACAAUUGAGACAGAAAACUAAUUCUAGCUUGCAAAUGAAAUUAAUAAACUAAAACUGCAUCAUAACAUUAAUUCAAUCAUGUCUAGGGCUUCAAAGCAGCCCUGAGUAUCCAUCACCUAAAUUAACAAAAUACAUAAAAAGUUAGGAAAGCUAGAACCUAGAAACGGCUUGAGGUGAAGGACUCCUCCUCUUUGAUGUUGUGUAUCUUCUCCUCUUUAUCCUUCAGAUUCUGUGUAUUUUUCUCCUAUUAAAGGGCUUAGGCGUUUUUUAACAUUUGACAUAUUUACAUCUUUAAAUUGACUCUCAUUUAUAGCUCAUUACAAUCAGCUUUUAGUAUAUGAGUAACUGAAAACUAGCUGUUAUUUGUAACUGAACAACUAAUCUUUAUUCUAUCAUAAUUUCUUGUCGAAAGUUCCAAAUCACAAGCUAUAAAGACUAUCAGAAAGAAGACUUCAAGGGCUUUCCAUAUAUAUGGCCCAUUUUCUAAUUCGUUCUGAGCACUUCGGGGCAAAGCUCGCAAGUUGGCUGUUCUGCAAAGACCUUUUCUAGCGGAUCUUGGGCCACUUGUGGGCUAUGAUCUGGUCUUGGGCGAGUUGGGCUUCAAACUAUCCAUUCUAAGCUCUUAAAAUAUUCAAAAUAAGAUGAUUUCUUGAUGUGAAAAUUAACUUGACACACAAAUUAAACCCUAUGGAUGACAAUUGUAGUAUAUGAACAAAUAGGGAUCGUUCUAAACCGGGGAUUAACUAGGGAUGCUAAUCAAUGUGAAACUGACUCAAGAACAUAAAAACAUAAUGUAGAACACUAAACUAGACUCAAUUAAUACAAAACUAGAGUUUAAAACACUUAAAUCAACCAAAAACUCAAAACAGCAACUAAAAGGCUCAAAACUGCCUUAAAACCACUUUCUGGGCAGUUUUGAGUACCUAACACUAAUUUGGACGAAAUUGGACUAAAACUUGACUCAAGACACUUAGAAACACAAACUAAAUUGACUUCUAACUAAUCUAACACUUUAAAAUAAAUGGGGGAUUGAUUUUGACGAAAUUGAAAUUAAAACAGAGACUUGUAAACAAACUUCAAACAAAACAGAUUGUGAUGAAAUAGAAUGGUGAGAAACUAGUUAGAGGGUUCCUUAUCCACACAUGAACAUAUGCAUAUAAUUUGAUUCCCAGUUAUGACUUCAACAAACAAUGAAUGACAAUGCUCCAAGUUAAUUAGGUUCGCUUAAAUUAACUUUCAGAUUUCCCUAGAUUCAUUGGAUCGAAUGGGAUACGCAUUAAAACCAAAUUAUUCCUCAUCAAAGUCCCUAACUAUGGAAUACGCAUGAUAGAGAUAUUCAACAAAGAUCAUUAAGUUCAACGGAAAUCACGAACAUCAACUAGGCAUUCAUAACUAUGGAAUACGCAUGUUAAUCCAGCCUAGGGUUUACUUAAACACAAUCGUGACUAGCGAUCUUUACUACUCAUGAAUAUAAGUUCAUAAUGAUUAGGUGAAAUUCCCUUAUAUCCUAGCAUCAAGUUUAGGCAUGCAAAUUAAGUGUCGACCCUCAACCCACAUACAUAGACAAGUUCUUAAUCAAAACAGAAAAGUAAACCACAUCUAAAGUUCAUGAAUUCAUAACUAGAGUAAAUCAAAUCAUAACCAACAUAUGUCCAUGGCUUCAAAUUCACCUCUAACUAAAAAGAAAUUAGUUCCACAUGUUUAACAUAAUUGAAAAGCAAAUUAAAUUAAACAUGAAAACAGAAACAAGAGAAGAAAGAACUCCAAACACUACUAAUGGCAGAUUGCAUGUGCAAGGUUUCUCCCUCCUUUGGACUGCACGGCACUACUUCUUUCUCCUUCAAUGGUGGCUGCACGAGGUGGUGAUGGUGGUGGAAAGGUGCGGCUGUGGUGGAUGAAUGGUUAUUUGAAUAGGGUAGAAGGUUAAGGGGAUUAGGGGGCACGGCAGAGACUUAGAACUAGGGAGAAUGAUGUGGUGGUUGCGGCAAGGCUUAGGGUAGAUUUCUGGAGAGAAUGGAUGAUAUGGGAGGUGGUAUUUUCGGCCAAAAGCUUUAAAGGAGUAUAGGCACGUAAAAACCCUAGCAAUCAGAUUAGAGUUUCUAGAAGCCCAAAUCCAACAGAAAAUAGGUUAAAACAAUCAGAUUUUGCAUGGGAAAAUGCCUAGGGUUCGGCUGGUUUAGUGGGCUAUGGUUAAGGCUUUUAGAAUGCCUUGCAAGGCAAGGAAAUCAGGUAUUUAAAACCCUAGGUGCGGCAUAGGAUUAGGGAGAUCAGAUUUGGAAAUGGGCUAGGGUUUAGGUGCGGCAUAUGGUGAAUAUCCACAAAGAAUUAGGGCUUAGGUCCACUUAGUUUUAGACAGGGAUUUGUAUAACUCAAAUCCACAACUAAAUGCCCUAAUAAGUCAGAAAUUAAGAGAGAAUGGCUAGGAAGUGCGGCUCAAGUCCAAGAGGUAAGGAUAGAUCAUCCAAAAGCCCAACGCCAAGAAUAGAAACUCACAAAUACGGAAACCUCCAAGAAUAGAAGCUUCCAACAUUAGAAACUUUGGUUUCCAAUUCCGACUUCUUUGUUCACUUUCAUUUCUUCAUUUCUUAAGCUCCUUUGACCUUCAAACUCGUCCAUUCCUUGUGCUCCAUAAGCCUACACUUCAUUCCAGCUCAAUUUUGCUCCAAAUGCUCCGAAUUGCAUCAUUUUUUGUAAUGUGCCCUUUAAACCUGAAAACACAUGAAAGUAGCUCAAAAGACUACUUUAACGAAGAAAACAUAACGAAAAUACAUAAGAACUAGCUAACUAAGGCGCAUAAAUAUGCUCCUAUCAUUUCUUCAAGCUCUUACUUUCAUCCUGAAAUACAAUACAAACAACAAAAUACCUUGUGAUGCAUAGAGAUUUUAAGUCAAAAACCUAGGCAAAAGAGGGUGUAAAAGUAUAACUUUAUACACUCAACAACUAGAUAGCUUACCCAUAUGGGUGUCGCGAAAUUGGUUUACCCUCUUGCACUGGAGAGCAAUUAGUUUACCCUCUCGCACUGGAAAACUUACCCAUAUGGGUGUCAAGGAAUUGGUUUACCCUCUUGCACUGAAGAGCAAUUAGUUUAACCUCUCGCACUGAAGAGCAAUCUCACACUGGAAAACAAUUAGUUUAACCUCUCGCACUGAAGAGCAAACCCAUAUGAGUGUCGGGGAAUUGGUAAACCCUCUCGCACUAAAGAGCAAUUAGUUUAUCCUCUCACACUGGAAAGCAAACCUUUUUGGGUGUCGGGGAAUUAAUUUACCCUUUCACACUGGAGACCAAUUAGUUUAUCCUCUCGCACUGGAAAGCAGAUCCUUUUGGGUGUCGGGGAAUAAGUUUAUCCUCUCACACUGAAGAGCAAUUAGUUUACCCUCUCACACUGGACAGCUUACCCAGAUGGAUGUCAGGAGAUUGGUUUACCCUUUCGCACUGGAUAGCAUGGAAGUCCUUGUUGUGAGUGCAGCUGAGGAAAGCUAGACUGCUGGACAAAUGAAAUAAGGGUUUGGAGAAUUUUGAGAGAAAAGUGUUCGGAGAAUUUUGAGAAGUUAGCAAGAGAAUUGGAACUUAGGUUUAUAGAGAAAAUGGGGUAGUAUAUAUAGGGCAUGGCUGGUCCCCUUUGGAGAGAUGGUGACCAACCAUUUGUGGCAUUUUUGGGUGUAAUUUGUAGUUAAUUAGCCAAUUAAUAGAUUAAUUAGGUAAUAAAUCAAUUAAUUAGCUAAUUAAUAUAAUUUGAAAUUAAUGUUUUGGGGGUUACCUUGUGGAGAAGAUUUGAUGAGGAUGGAUGAAAUAGGUUUUGAAUAAAUAACUAUUUUGGGCACUUUUGACUUGAUUGAGGGAUGAUUGUCCACUACUCGCGCAUAGGAGUUCCGGUGUUCCUUAAGGGUAAUUUUGUCCUUUUCAUCCUAGAAUCCACAUGUCUCCUCCAUAUUUUUCUUGAUUAUUUUUUGCUCCACAACACUAAUAUUGUUUUCAAGUUAACAAUAUAUUUCACAAUUUUAUUACGAAAGAUGCCAGUACAAUUAGAAAUAAAACCAUUUAGUACAAAUUUGUAAAUGACGAACAUAGGAUUUUUCUCAUUAUUCAACAAGAUGUGUUUGUAAACUUUGCAUUCGACUUUGGAAAUUGCAUAGCUUGAGUAUGACCCAAAAGAGAAGAUCUUAUGAACAUUUAGGGAGAUCAAAUUUUUUAAAUCAAAUUUGUAAAUUAAAUUAUAUGGUUAUAGAAGAUUUAUUUUCUUUUUUAUUUGGUAAUCAUGUGGUUAUAGAAUAUUGAUUAUGUCUAAAGUG